rnacentral:rRNA from 1 species
GGUGAACGCUGGCGGCGUGCCUAACACAUGCAAGUCGAGCGGUGCAGUUUGAAGCUUCGGUGGAAAGCUGCAUAGCGGCGGACGGGUGAGGAAAACGUAGGAACGUGCCCCUUGGAGUUGGAUAGCCACGGGAAACUGUGGGUAAACCGACAUAGACUCGAGAGAGUAAAGGCCGAAAGGCGCCAAGGGAGCGGCCUGCGGCCCAUCAGGUAGUUGGUAGUGUAAAGGACUACCAAGCCGACGACGGGUAGCCGGUCUGAGAGGAUGGCCGGCCACAAGGGCACUGAGAGACGGGCCCUACUCCUACGGGAGGCAGCAGUGGGGAUUUGGACAAUGGGCGAAAGCCUGAUCCAGCGACGCCGCGUGGAGGACGAAGCCCUUCGGGGUGUAAAGCUCUUUCGCAAGGGAAGAAAACUUAUCCUCUAACAUAGGAUGAGGUUGACGGUACCUUGAUAAGAAGCACCGGCUAACUACGUG